GCCACGAGGGAGCGUCCGCGGCUCGCGCGCCCGCGCCGUGGAGGAGAGCCCAUGAUUUCCUGGAAGCUGGCUGUCCAUCAGUGUGUAUGUAAGAUGUGUUUUAAGUAUGAUGUUUCCGUAAUACAUUUGGAUGUUUUCAGCUAAGCUCACUUCUGAACCAUGGGGUUCCUCCAAAUGUUGACUGAAAUUUGUCCUUGUGCAUCCCCAGGCUCAUCUGCAAAAUCUACAGUCCAUAAUGGAGCUACUGUACUGGCUAUUGGAAGAAGGAGAUUCUGAAGAUAGGGAGUUCAUCAAGAAGCCAAAGAUCUUAUGCCUGACUAAGUAUCUCCAUAUCUGACUUGAUUCAGCUGUCAGUCUGAAAUUUCCUGUGGUCUGUUCAGUCUAGAUGCAAAGGCCAUGGAAAAAUCAAGUGCUCAAGUGGUUUAAAUAUGUUUUGGAUGUUCUUAUUUAUAGAUUACAGUAUUUUUCCACUUAAAAUCCACAGUUGUCGUGCAGAAGAAGGUUAUGCCCUUCUAGAUCACCAAUUUUAUUUGACAUGCUUAGCGUUGUAAUGUAUUACCAAGUGCUAUCUGUUUUAAUCAAAGUAUAGAAAAAAUAAAAUCAAUUUUAUAUGUUGA